rnacentral:rRNA from 1 species
GUGGGGAAGCUGGUGCUAAAGCAUUCAUAGACGACCUGCUUCUGGGUCGGGGUUUCCUAUGUAGCAGAGCAGCUCCCUCUCUGUGAUCUAUUGAAAGUCAGCCCUC